rnacentral:rRNA from 1 species
AUUGAACGCUGGCGGCAGGCUUAACACAUGCAAGUCGAGCGAGCGGCGGACGGGUGAGUAAUGUCUGGGAAACUGCCUGAUGGAGGGGGAUAACUACUGGAAACGGUAGCUAAUACCGCAUACCAUCAGAUGUGCCCAGAUGGGAUUAGCUAGUCGGUGGGGUAAUGGCUCACCUAGGCGACGAUCCCGAGCUGGUCUGAGAGGAUGACCAGCCACACUGGAAAUGGGAAACGGGCCAGACUCCUACGGGAGGCAGCAGUGGGGAAUAUGGGACAAUGGGCGAAAGCCUGAUGGAGCCAUGCCGCGUGUGUGAAGAAGGCCGUCGGGUUGGAAAGCAAUUUCAGCGAGGAGGCGUUACUCGCAGAAGAAGCACCGGCUAACUCCGUGCCAGCAGCCGCGGUAAUUC